AUACGGAGGGUGCAAGCGUUGUUCGGAUUUACUGGGCGUAAAGCGCGCGCAGGCGGAUUAGCAAGUCAGAUGUGAAAUCUCGGGGCUCAACCUCGAAACUGCGUCUGAAACUGUUAGUCUAGAGUCUCAUAGGGGGCAGGGGAAUUUCACGUGUAGGGGUAAAAUCCGUAGAGAUGUGAAGGAACACCCGUGGCGAAGGCGCCUGCCUGGAUGAGUACUGACGCUGAGGCGCGAAAGCGUGGGGAGCAAACAGGAUUAGAUACCCUGGUAGUCCACGCCGUAAACGAUGAGUACUAGCCCUUGGAGGUAUUGACCCCUUCAGGAGCGCAGCUAACGCAUUAAGUACUCCGCCUGGGAAGUACGGCCGCAAGGCUAAA
rnacentral:rRNA from 1 species